rnacentral:rRNA from 1 species
GUGAGGAAUAUUGGGCAAUGGAGGCAACUCUGACCCAGCCAUGCCGCGUGCAGGAAGACGGCCCUAUGGGUUGUAAACUGCUUUUAUAUAGGAAGAACUACAUCUACGUGUAGAUGUUUGACGGUACUAUAUGAAUAAGCACCGGCUAACUCCGUGCCAGCAGCCGCGGUAAUACGGAGGGUGCAAGCGUUAUCCGGAAUCAUUGGGUUUAAAGGGUCCGUAGGCGGGCAAUUAAGUCAGAGGUGAAAUCCCACAGCUCAACUGUGGAACUGCCUUUGAUACUGGUUGUCUUGAGUUACAGUGAAGUAGAUAGAAUAAGUAGUGUAGCGGUGAAAUGCAUAGAUAUUACUUAGAAUACCGAUUGCGAAGGCAGUCUACUAACUGUAUACUGACGCUAAUGGACGAAAGCGUGGGGAGCGAACAGGAUUAGAAACCCUAGUAGUCC